ensembl:lncRNA
AAACUAGCUGUAAUUUGUCACAUUUUUUGGAAGUUCCUUGUUGCACACCCUAUUUACUCAGAUAAAAUUAUUUCUUUCUCAGUUCUCUGAUCAAGUUGAAGAAUUUAUAUUUAUAGUUUUCCCUAGAGCAGAUUCAGUAAUGAAAUUCCCUAAAGAAAUAUAAAGUAUAUAUGGUUGAGAAACAUACAAAGAUACUUUAGUAAUGCAAGAUAGAAUAGAAAGUGAAUUAGUUACAAUCAUGUGGAACCACCAAAAUAGGAUAGAUACUGGAUUAUUUUUGUGAAUUUGUCAAAUAUUUACAGAAUAGACAUUGAUGUGUUGAUGUGUUUAUUGCUUGGAUAUUUUGUAUAUAGUUAUUGUUCUUGUUGCAUAUACUUUUUCUUAUAUUAGUUAUAACCAUUUUAUGUUUUAGACAAAAAAAUGGAAAUGCAAAAUUUUGUUUGUGCUCUAAAAAAUAAAGCUAGCCUGAAGAUCAGGGUUUGAUGUAGACACUGCUUAACCAUAGAGGCCAGGCCAUGGUUACACAUAGCUUUAACCCACGAAUUUGGGAGGAAGAAGCAGGAAGAUCAGGAGUUCAAGGCCACACUGAGGUACACGAAAUUCAACCAGUCUGAUAGAUAUAAGAGCUGGGUGCCUGUGGCUCACUCCUCAGGUGGAGACAGGAGUAUAAGGCUGGAGGAGGCAGUAUUUAGGCUUAUUCAUAUGGUAGAUUUGUAAAGACAGGACCUCCCCAGCACUUCCAUCUGAACAUUUGGUACAGGUAAGAAGUCCCUAUAGUGUUGGCUCCUUUAAUUCUCUUAUGUCUCAACAUUUACCCAAUUAUCUGACAUCUCACUCAGCGUUUUUACUAUUUAAAUCAAUUUGAAGAAAUGCUACAGAGCACCUUUUACCCUCUAAACACACACACACACACACACACACACACACACACACACAGAGAGAGAGAGAGAGAGAGAGAGAGAGAGAGAGAGAAAGAAAGACAGAGAGAGAGAAAGAAAGACAGAGAGAGAGAAAGAGAGACAGAGACAGAGACAGAGACAGAGAAACAAAUGUAAUAACAAAAGAAGUCAUGUCACGAGAACUCUGAGGCUGCGGUCCACACCCAUCUGUGGCCAGGACACAGAGGCCUAGAGGAGCCCUGUGACACAAGUACUCUCUACAACUGGCCCUUGUCCCCUGCAGGGGGCAGAAAGGACAGAUUUUGUUGUGCAGAAGCUUUAUCAUCAGCAGCAUACACUGGGCCUCUCUGUCCUUCACUGUCACAUGCUCCUAGGGAGUUCAGUCGGGAGGUCAUGUAUGUGCUCUAUGGACCUGUCCCACAGACACUCUGCCCUAAUGCGUUCUGCUGGGGUAUUUUGGCAAUGCUGCAAUUGAGCAGUGAUGUUUCAAGGUGCACUAGUUGUUCCCCCCAUAUUCUCAUUGUAAAUCAAAACAUUCAGGCUCCCCUGUGAAUUGCAAGGAUUUUAUUGUUGGAAUCCUGGCUUUAGAUACCUGGAGGGAAGGGUAGGGCUUGCUGCAUCUAUUCAGGUGAGUAGGCAAGUGGCUUCCUUGAGUCUUAUUGCCCAGAUGGAUUCAUCAACAGAAUUUGUUAGCAUCUAUUUUCUGCUGCAAAGAGAACCCGGUGAGGCAUCUGAGGUUUCAGAGGUGAAGGACAUCUCACUGAGCAUACAUGGGACACCUCAUGGGAGGGACUGAAACCUGUCUGCCAGAGCACCUGGGUCUGACCACGAUCAAGGAGCCAUCUCUCCAUCCUGUCUGCCUCAAACCACAUCAGGGCAAACCUUGCAAACAGCCUCCAAUCCAGCCUGAUGGAAAGAGCCACCUGCACUCGGGUCACCAUGGGCACAUAUGGGACACAAUGCAGAGGCAGCUGGGCAGGUCCUGGAGUGUCUCAGGAGAGCCUGCAGGCAACUGUGACCCCACAAGUGAAUUGAUUCCUGUCACAUGAAUACACUCAGACACAUGCAACUGAGGUUGUGACUGGUCUUACUAGUUUUAGUGACAGUAGGGGACUCAACUAGAUGCUCCACAUGAGUCACCUAGGCCUGGAUUCUACAUAGUGGCCUUGGAGAUCCAGAGUGCAAGAAAAAAAUAGUGUUUGUGGAUGCAGUGGUACACUUGACAAGUUAGGGUAAAAGACCCAGCCUGGAGAAAGAGUGCCAGGCCCUGUGCUGGGUGUGGCUGGACCCAGAAGGCUGGGCCAGACAUGCUGAUGGAGGCCAAGUGGUAUCAGGGGGGACAGGGAUCCUCAGGGUCUAGUCUGGCUGGGUCGAGUGAACAUCUAGGCCUAGCUCAGGUUGCCUGAUUGUCCCUUCCUGCCCCAUCCUCCUGAUACCAGCAGUUAGAAGAGCCAACUUUAUGCACACAGAAGUUGCAGGGGCCGUGAGGAACACAGGCUCCAUCUCUAACUGGGGUGAUCAGGGCAGCUCCUGGGACAGAGACAGACACAAUAGAACUCACCGGUAAACUGAGUACAUUCUCCUUGUCAACCUUUGUCAAAUUGCUGUCAACACAUUUCUUCAGAUUUUCAGCAUUUUCCAGUGUUGCAUUGUCAUUCUUGUAUUUCUUGACAAAGUUUACAUAUUCCGGCAGAGAUGGGCCAAGUAAAAGCUCAAUCUCCUGCUUUAUAGCUGGGCAAAUGACAGAAACUGAAACACGAAGAAAAGGGGAUCCUCCCUUGAAACCUUGUGUCAGAACACAGGAGUCCUUCCUGGGGCAGUAAAGGUGUGAGAGCACUAGAGACUUAAAAUCCCCAAAACCCACAGCCUAGUACCUACCUCCCCCUGAAAUCAGGAGCAGGACAGCCCCAAGCAACAGUAGUGCACCAGGGAGUUUCAUGGUAAUGAUGGCAGGUGCUCCUACCUAGCUCAGGCCCCUUCUAUACCUGCCCUGGGCUGCUCAGUGGGCAGAGAGGGGCUGUGUCUGAGCCCCUCCAGACUCCUCCCAGAUCACUGUGUGAAACUCCCAAUGGCUUUGUCAGGAGAGAUGUGUAUUUUGGCAAGAGGAUAAAAUCCUGGUCAACAAAGGGCCUUGUCUCAGCCUGGUGCCUUUCUUAGUAUUCUGCUUAAUGUCACAUGUCACAUGAAGACCAAAGGAAAAUUUGAGUAAGGAGCCAGGCAACAGGCCCCUCAACUAAGCCUCCAGAGUGAGCCCUAGGUCACCCUGUGAGGAUGGGAACUCAAGGGUUACUUAAAAGUCUCCUUAGUAGUCAAUGUCUAAAACAGACCAAAUCACAGACACUUGGGGACCCCUGCUCUGACUGUUUCUGUCCCUAACCCCAUCUUUCCCUUGCUUCAUGGCUUCCUUGAACCACCCUCUAACCCUGAAGUCCUCCUGCUGUUGUAGUCAUUCUGCAGCUUGAUCUCUUCCUUGUUUUUUUUAGGUAGCAUCUCUAGACAUUACCCUUCUGUGCGAGAAAAUCUGUGUAUACCAGGCUGGCCUUGAACUCAGAUAUCCACCUGCCUCUGCCUACUGAGUGCUAGGAUUAAAUGUGUGCUCUACACAGCCACACUGGUCCUCUUAAACUUCUAUUUGAUGUUUAUUUUUCAUAUAGGAUCUGGCCCAGGUUAACCAUGUGUUCAUAAAAUUCCUAACAAGGGAGGAAGUGGGAGUGUGUGUGUGUGUGUGUGUGUGUGUGUGUGUGUGUGUGUGUGUGUGUGUCUGUGUCUGUGUGUCUGUGUGUAUGGUAUGUGUUUAGGACAUGGAUUGUGGUUUGUAUGUGUUUCUGCAAUAUGUAUGUGUGGUGUGGGGGGUCCAUGUGUGUUGUUUUGGGUGGUGUGUGUAUAUUGUGUGUUUAUGGUAUGCGAGUCUGUGGUGCAUGUUUGUGCUGUGUGUUAUGUGUAUGUCUGUAUGUGGUGUUGGUAUAUGUGGAUUGUGUGUGGACUGUGUGUGUGUGGCAUAGGUGUGUAUGUGUGUGGUAUACUUACAAAUGUGUGUGAUGUAUGUAAUAUGUGUGUGUUUCUGAGUUGUGUUUGUGUGGUGUGUGUAGUAUGUGGAUGUGUGGUGUGUUCAUGUUAUAUGGUGUGUAUGUUUCUACAGUAUGUAUUGUGAUAUGGUGGGCCAUGCAUGUAUGUGGUACAUGUGUGUUGUUUUGGGUGGUGUGUGUUUGUGGUAUAUGUGUAUGAUAGGUGUGUUGUGUAUGUGUGUAGAAUGUGUGUGACUGGGGUUUAUGUGGGUUGUGUGUGUCAUGUGUGUGUGCAAUGUGUUUGUAUGGUUGUGUGUGUGUGUAGUAUGUGUGUGUCAUGUGUGUUUGUUUGUGUGUGAUGUAUGUGUAGUAUGUUGUGGGUAUGGUGUAUUUGUUACUAUGUAUGUGUGUAUGUGUGGUGUGAGUGUGUGGUGAAUUCAGAUUCCUCUGUGGCUGGCUGUAAGCACUGUUAAAAUCCUUUAACAAUACCUGGUCUUGUGUCAACACUUUCAGUCCUAGCACACAGGAGACAGAGGCAGGUGGAUCUCUGUGAGAUUGAGGUCAGCCUGUUCAGCACAGAGAAUUCCAGGCCAGCCAGAAUUACACUGUGAGAUGCAGUUAAUACCACUAUGAUGUCAUCAAACACCAUAUAAGAGGGACAGGCAGAUAUGGUUUCAACAUGGCUAGGCCAUACACAGCAACCCCACCUUAAGCCUUGGUCCCCAGGGUGACAGUCCUGAGAGGUAGUGAUGGUGGGUGGUGACAAGCAGGCAGAGCUCCUGCUCUAGUACUGACUUCCAUCAGCUCCCCUGAACUCCCCACCUCUCACCAUGAGUUCACACAGUUCAAGCAUUGGCAAGAUGUGACUGCCCUAUAUGAGCCUGUCAAGACUCCAGCCCAUGAACCAAAUUAACUUCUUUCCCACAUACAGUGCUGAGUCUGGGUAGUUUGGUCAUAGCAAUGAAAUGCAGAUUACAACACCACAGUACACGUGCAUCCUGUACAUAAGAACACGCCGGGCUGUACCACAGCAUGGAGCUCUACACCCUGUCCCCAAUUCCCCAGUUCCUCUUUCACUGGCUGCUUUUGUGUUCCUUAGAUAUCUAAUGGCUCAGGAGACCAAGGCAUGUGCCACUCUGUCCCAGGGACACCACAUAGGAGGUGUCAACAAUGGAGGGCUAGCUGGCUUCUCUCAAGUCUAUAAACAAGACCUUUCUGAAAACUUGAAACAACAGGAUCUUCCAACUUAGCCCAGGCUAGUCAGAAACUCUCAACACCCUUGCCCUGCCUCCAUAUUCACCUUACAUAAGUGCUUGUGUAAUUUGGCUGAUAUUCAUUUUUAAAAGUAAAGAUUCCAAGAGUUUUUGAUCAGUCAGAACUAAGUAGUUUGUUGUUAAAGGCAUUGACUGUCCCUUUCUCUCCAUCAGGAGUGACAGAUGAAGUUUUCCAAAUACUUAGAGAGGCAUUAGCCUUUAAAUUACUGGUCACACAAGCCAAACGGUAUCUGAAUCCAGUAACCGAUUUUUGGCAAAGAGGUGCCAAGCACUAAUAUUCCCUCGUGAUCUGUCCACUAUAUCCUCUAGUUCUUGUUUUGAUGACCUUGCAGGUCCUAUGGCUGCUGAGGUCCAGCUAGGCCUUUCUAUGCCUUGGAAGUAUUAGGAAUGGAUACAAGGGAAUCCUGUGGCUAACAAAUGUCUACUGGUAGGUGACACCUGCAGCACUCUGCCAGUUUGUCAGAGCUGGCAUCAGGCUUUUUUGUAGAUGUCACAGAGGUUUAGUGCCUUGACCUUAGAUGUCAGAGGACAUGUGACAAGUACACCUUUCCCCACUGAGUAGAAAUUCUCACUUGAACCAUUAACAUUCUGUGACCAGAUAUCUCUACUGUUUUCCUACCUACUCACAUUGUUCUAUAUGUGUGUAUGCACAAUUUUUUAUGUGGUGUGUGUGUGUGUGUGUGUGUGUGUGUGUGUGUGCAAGAGACAGACAGAGAGAGAGAGAGAGAGAGAGAGAGAGAGAGAGAGAGAAGAGAGAGAGAGAGAGAGAGAGAGAGAGGAGAUGGGGUGAGGGAGAGGGAGAGGGAAAGGUAGAGAGAGAUGUGUGACAGAGUUUCUCUGUAUAUCCCUGGCUAACCUGGAACACUCUAUGAAGAUUAGGCUGUCCUCGAACUCAUAGAGAUCAGCCUGCCUCUGCCUGCUGAGUGCUGGGAUUAAAGGCAUGCACCACAACCACCUAGAGAAAUUUCUUAUGAAUCAUUUAUGCCUUCCUGCAGACAUGCCACUUCUUUAAUUUUCCAGGUAGCAUACUACCAUUCCCACGUUCAGGCAGAUAUCAUCUUGUUGCAUACUAUCCUUACAAAUUGGAGGUUCUGACACAUAAAGAAGCCAAAGGUCAUUUUAAGAUACUUGAAACAUCUUUCUCAGGAACAAGAUAAUCAAAGUAAUUCUACUUUGUCACACACUGGCAGCCUCUCCACCAUCUAGGAAGACAGAGUGCUGCAUAUUUGGACAGUUUCUACCCCUCCCAACUACUCAAUCCAUUGAACAAGUACAGCUGGUACUGUUCUCAGAGGUGGGUUAUCAAUUCUACUUCUAAACAUAGUAUUUCCAGUUUUUCAAAACUAUUUAUAUGAAGUUUUAUUCUACUAUAUCUAAUUUAAAUGUAAAAUUAUCAGCUGUUCACACUACACUAGUAAAUAAAACUAUGUAAAGCAAUGGUUAUUAUCUGAGGUAUCUCCUAAAUGUUACCAUCUGGCCAUUGACCCACUUUCUUCUUUUAUCUCUUCUCUCUGACUUCAAACCAGUAGACAAAUAUAGGCAUAUGCAUUGCUUAGAAAUUGCUGAACGAAUUAAUAUCCCCAAAUCAUUACACAGCAAUCUUUCCUAUAAAUUUUAGCAGUGUACAAAAUGUGCUAAUUUUGUCAUACAUUAGCAACCUCUUUAAUUUUUAAAUAUUAGAAUCUGACAUAUGUCCAUUAUAUACAGUAAACACACAGAAAAACAAAAUGCAAAUAUAUACAAUUGGCAUCUGAAAUUGUCCCAUAUAAAAACACUAGCUCGACGUCUCCCAGCACUUCCUCCUGAGCACGUAUCAAGUGCAUACAUUACUGUUCACAGACGUGCUCAUAAUUCUACUCCCAAAGACAGUGUUUCAUGAAUUUUAGCAAAAAGAUAUUUACAAAGUGAUAUAUUAAUACCUCUAAAUUGAAAAUGUGUUGGGCACUUCUAAACAUCUAGAUAGACCAGAUGUUUCAAGUAAGGACUGUAGUCCAUUAUGUGCACAGCAGUCCAGUAAAUGGCACACAUGUAACGAGAAUAAUAAUUAAAAAUUUUAACGUAAAAUGAAAAAUUUUAACACAAAAUUACAAAAUAUUGUUUUACAACCUCUCCUUUUUCUUGCACUGGCUACCACUUUAACAUCUAGAUUGACUAAAUGUUGUGAAUUGGACUCCUUUGUCCUUUAUAUAUACCAUGUACACAGCAAAAACACACAAAAUGGGACAGUGGGGUUUUUCCACCCAUGGAGCACAAUGAUUUAGAGCUCUAAAUUUCCUUCUCCUGGAAACCAGGGAACACACACAAUGUGGUCAACUCAGGAUGGCUUUGGCUAUUUCUCCCCAAACAAUAUUUCAGAUGAAUCCUAAUAAAAACUUCUUUACAUAAUGUGUUGUUUUACUCCUACUACUUAUAAAAUAUGUCAGGCACUUUAGAGUAUCUAGAAAGAUAUUUCCCAAAAAAUACUUGGCAUUGUCAAACACACACACAAACACACACACACAGGAACACACAUGGGGGUGGGAGUGCGGUUGAAAUGAAGAAAAUGCAUACACAAUGCAAUAGAACACACAAAAAAGAAGUCUUCAUAUGACCAAUUCCUCUCUGGACCUCCCCUUCCUACUGCUGGGUCCUCUAACCUUUUGAACAAACUAGGAGGAAUGUUGCUCCUGGGAUAUUUUCAAGAAUUGGCUUAAACAAUUCCAUUGCAAAGUCGCUUCCCGAAGACAUGUCUAUGAUGUUAUUAAAGAUGAAUGGAUAGACACAUGUGAUGUCCUACCUCUACUUUACCCCGCAUUGGCAAUCUCUAUAGCAAGAUGGCCAGAUUUAGCCAAAGUCUCUCUAAAAGGGUCGGGUUAAAGAUUGAGAGCAGCUUUUUUAUAUUAUAUACAUGACCUUCUAUGAAGAAGGGUAAAUUUUGCCAGCAUUUGCAACUGGCAGCAUAAGAUACCACAAAGCCAAUCCUCUGUAUUGUUUGGCUUGUGUUACUUUAUUUAACUUUAUGAUAGCAAUCAAUUGAAUAGUUUCUCUCUUUUCAUUUUUUGAGGGUGGUUCUCUCUAUGUUGAACUAGAUGUUCCAGAAAUGGCUGGGUAGACCAGGCUGAACUCAACUUCACAGAAAUCCCCCUAUCUCUACUUCUCAUGUCAGGACAAUAAAGGCAUUUACCUACCAAGAAACACGGGUUCAGAUUCUUUCCCUGGCUUUUCUUUCAUGCUGAUUUAUUAGUGUUCUCUGGAUGGAAUAUCUGUGUUUAUCCCUGUGAUGUGUCUAUUACAUAUGCUUCAAAUUCUUCAUUUUUCAUUUUCUCUAUGAAUGCUACUUCUUUUCUUAUGUAUGGUUUUCUUCCUCUGUGGUGCUGACUUCCUUGAUUGUAUUUUUUCUUAUUGCUGACAAGCAUGCAUGUUUUGUAGCCAGAAAAGCAUGCAGGGGUAUCAUCUACACUGUCGAAACCACCAGAGAUUCUCCAAGAUUCAGAAACGUUUGUCAAUGGCCCAAAUAACUUAUGUGUGUGCUUUCCUUGCUGUGACAAGCCAGUUAGUCACCUGCUAGCAAUUCAAGUCCUUCCUAUCCCUGCUGUGCUGUGCUGAGAGUACCCAGAUCCACCUAUGUGCUUGGGACAGUGGAUUCCUGCUUUCUGCUCUGGUUUCUCCCAACAUUCCCAUCUCAUCUGGUUGUCAUAUUAGAGGAAUCCCUUCAUAUUUCUAGCUUGUUCUUGGCACUUUCUCUUAUUUUUCAAUCUCAUUAGAAACUUCUCUGAUUAAAUAUGUACAAAAAUCACUUUUACAGCUUUUGAGAAAGGUUUCUUAACAGUCUGUGGCAACAGACCAGUUCUGGCAACACAAGAGAAUAUAUUCUGAAUCAAAUUUUGGACACGGUUUUAAUUUUGUGAGUUUAAUACUAAGAAAUGUCAUCCUGGUUUGUUAAAAUGAAACUAUAUCUAUGCUUUACUUUCUGUAAACUGUCAUUUGCAACAGCUGGCUGUUUAAGGCAGGGUGGAGUCACUUGCUUGCCCUGCAUGAUAUCCUGGGUUCAAUUAUCAGCAAACAUAAGAGAUAAGGAACUGAAAUCACAAAUUUAGAUAAGAUAACCUGCAAGGGAAUUGACUUCUUGGUUUCAGGAAAUCUAAAUAUUUUGUCUUGUACCUCAUCUAGACAAUUUCAUAAUGCACACAAUGCAUUUUAUUCAUACCUACUUCCCACAAUUAGUGCAUGCUCUCUGUACCUCUUUGCCUCCCGCUCUCCUGAUUCUGUUGGAAAGCUGGCUGAUUUAUUUGGUUUGAUCUUACAGAGAGUUCAUAAGCUGCCAUGUCAUUUACUGAAGCCAGCUGUUUACAUCCUGUAGCACUUCCUGGAAAAUGGAUUCUUUCCAUUCAGAUUGCAAGUGUCACUUCUCAGUGUUUUCGGGUAUUGAGAAACUUGUCCAUCCCCAAAGGCAAUAUACAAACAAUUACCCAAAAUCUAUCCUGGUGCCAUAAUAAUCUUUCUGAAUCUGAAUGCCUUGAAUUCUAGGAUAUUACAGGAUUCUGUACUCCCACAUUACAAAGUCAUGAACAUUUGAUUGGUGGCUACCAGAGGAACAGUGGAAGCUGGCCAUGUCAGCCCCUCCAGCCUUCAAACUAAUCCUGCACACAAGAUAGGAACACACUGUAACAGGAAGUAGUAGAAACUAAAUUCAAACUCACAAAACAUAUAUUGAUGUAAAUCAAUUUGUUGGCAUAGCAGAAGAAAAAUCAUGUGAUCAAACCAAAGCCAAUUUUUUUUUUUUAGUGUGCAAGCAUAGGGUUUUUAUUAGGUAAAUAGAUCAUAAAAGGGGGAAAGAAAAUGGUGGAUAACAGCCUCUGCAGACAGGAACAGCAAGAGAAAAGAGAUAGAGGAAAGAUAGAGAGAGAGGGAGAGAGAUAGAAACACACAGAGAGUGAGAUAAAGGGAGAGAAGGAUGGGAGGUAAGCAGGGCACAUUUGUUCAUUUUUUUUAUUUGAAUUAGAGACAAAAUUGAAUUACAUGACAAUCCCAGUUCCUUUAUCUCUCACUUCUGCCCUUAACACACCCCCAACUAAAACCCUACCUGUCACAUAUCCUUUCUUCUAUUCUAUUCCUGACUCAAACUUUCUGCUCCCUCAUGACCUCUGCCUCCUUUCACUUCUUCCAUUCUCAUUCUUGGAGCUCCCUACUCCCUCUUCUCAUGAUCUCAAUUUACUCAGAAGAUCAUGACCCUUUCCCCUUCUCUAGGGGAAAUGUUUGUCCAUUUUAGGGUCUUCCUUGUUUACUGGUGUCUCUCUGACAAUGUGGAUUGUAGGCUGGUAAUCCUUUACUCUAUGUCUAAAAUCUACAUAUGAGUGAGUACAUACCAUGUUUGACUUUUUGUGUUUGGGUUACGUUAUUCAGAAUGGUUUCUUCGAAUUCCAUGCAUUUUCCUUCAAAUUUAAAGAUUCCAUUGUUUUUUUUUUUUGUGUGUGUGUGUGUGUGUGUGUGUGUGUGCUGAGUAGUACUCCAUUGUGCAAAUGUACCACAUUUUCUCUAUCCAUUCUUCAGUUGAUGGGCAUGUAGGCUGCUUCCAGUUUCUAGCUAUUUCAAUAGUGCUGCUAUGAACAUAGUUGAACAGAUGUCCUUGUUGUAUGAAUAUGCUUCUUUUGGGUAUAAACCCAGCAGUGGAAUUGCUGGAUCUUGUGGUAGGCUGAUUCCAAUUUUCAAAGAUCAGUAUUAAUUUAGGGACCAUGUCCUUGCUUGAGGAAACAUGAUUUGGAAAGAAUCAAAUCCUGCCCAAGAAAGUCGAUCAAACACAAGCAAUGUCCCAGAACAAUUUUCAUGAAAUAUGACAAACAAUAUUGCAAAAUUUUCAUGGAAAAGAAAUGUGCCAGAAUAGGUAUUGCUUUUUUGCAAAGGUCUGGCAAGGCUUCAGUCUGGUGAUGGCAGCUUAAAGCUGUUUAUUUACCCUAAGGUAAAAAAAGAAAAAUAAAACAGUAAGAAGCGGGGAAUAUGAGAGUUAUUUCAUUGUAAAUUUCAACCAGUAGGUUGACAACGAGACACACAUGUACCCUAAAUAAUAGUAUAUGACAAAGGUAUCAUUACAAAAAAAAAAAGACUUGGUAUAGCUAAAUACAUGGUUGUCAUCAAACUUUUAAAAAGAAGCAUUUUAUGGACUAUGAUGAGGCAGACUUCAUAAUACAUUAUGUUAUGGGAAAUAUAUAAGCUUCCAAAUUUACUCAGUGAAUAAAAGUAACAUUGUAAAUAAGAGCCACAGUUAAGAACAAUUUAAAAGACUGAGGUAGAUACCCUGCCUUACAUAUUGAGAUUCUGUCUCAAAAGGGCAAACAAAAUUAAGUUUGUUGGGAAAAAUAGUUUUAAAAGUAUUGAUUAUCAUGGGAUCAUGAUGAGACAAAACUUUAAAGAGGGCGAGGGAGAGAAAGACACAUCUGUGUGAUCUAAGAAAUUGACAAUCCACAUAGCAAAAUAGUUCUGGCAUUAGGACAAGCCUCCAGCAGCACAUGGCUUAAAGGAAAGUGUACAGCUACCGAGAACUUGGAUGAUUCUAUCUAAGGUAGUAAAACUUAAUUCCCUAAGACUAAAGGAGGGAAAAAAAUUCAAUAAUCAAAUACUGGAUUUCAAUUUCACACACUGUCUGGGAAAACUGAAUAGUAAGAGCUACCUGAAAGUUUGCUCAUUGGCUGGUCUGUGUUACAUUCCAAGCCUGAGAUUAACGUAAUUCUUCAUGUUUCCAAUAUAUUGGUUACUGAGGAAAUGAUUAGUGACCCUGAAAAUAUUACUCCCAUUUGCUCAGAGAUUUCCUCUGGAAGAAGAUGAUUAUCUAGGUAUAACAGAGAACAAUGGAGAGAGAAAGGUAUGUGGUGAGAGAGGUGUAUGCAAGAGAGAGCAGGAGAUGUGUGCAGAGAAAUCAAGAGACAUGUGCAGAGAGACUUGAGAAAUGGGUGACAGGAAUGUGGUGUAGGGAAGAUGUAGCUGAGUGUGGAGGAAAAGUUUGAGAGAAUAGAGAAGUGUGGAAGAUGUAAGAAGAAGUUUAAGAAAAUGUGAAAUGAUGUUGCUCAGUGGGUAGAGAAGUAGAAAACAUGUAUCAGUAUAGAAGAGAGACAUAUAUGUAAGAGAGUCUAAUGUGAGGAAAGAGUUGUGGCUUUGUGGGGAAAAGUGUAACUGUGUGGUGCUUUGUAAUGGUGUGGAGACAAGAAAGGCUAAGCUGUAUAGAAAAGAGAUGUUGACUGUGUAGAGAGGCAAGGCUAUGCAGGAAAGAGAUAUGUGUAUGUAUAGAAAAUAUGCAGUUGUAUGGACACAAUGCAGCUGUGUGGCGAUAGAUUUUUCAGUUGAUUUUUUUUCAGAUGAAGUAAAAGAGAAAUUUUCCAUCAGAAAAUGUAUGUUUCCUUAUUUUCGCCUCCGGUAGAAAAGUCUAAACCUAGAUGUAUUUGUUCAUUUUUUUCCCAUACCUUGGAGUUGAUCUUGAACCAGGCUCUCUGUAAGGCCACUGUUCUUUAGCUAGUUUAAAUUUGUUGAUCUAUAUGCCACUUAGUUGACUGAUUGUACAAUGGGAAGAGGCUUACAGUCUGAUCUGCAGCCAACUACUCUAGACAACUGAAACGUGUUGAGCACUUUUUUUUUUUUUUGCUUUGAUUAUCUUGUUCCUGAGUAAGAACUGGGAAAGAUGUUUCAAGUCUCAUAAAAUGACCUUUGGCUUCUCUUUAUGUCAAAACUUCCAAUUUGUAAGGAAUAUAUUCCACUGGAAGGCUUUCUCCCUAAAACUGGGAGGGGAAAUAUGCCUCCUGGAAUAUUAUAAAAUCAAUACUUCUGGGGAAAGGAAUAAAGGAUUCAUAAGAAAUUUCCAAAUAAUCUAAUAUCGCCAAAUUGCACUAAUAUUAUUAGUUCCCUAAACAUGCAAAAUGCCAAUCACAAAACCAAAAAUGACAGGGCAACAAUGAUGUGGCUCAGCUUAGCUAUAUUUUGUUCAAGCAGCCGUGAUGGCUUAAUGACUUAUGCAAUUGCCUUCAUAUAUGGCUGAACCAGUAAUAUGAAAUGUAGUAUCGAUAAAAAUUUCUAAGUAGUCUUUCUAGGGUAAUCAUCUAGCAUGCUUCAGUUAUAUAGGACACAAAUUAUUUUUUUCCUGUAAAUACAAAUGAUGGGACAGAUUUAAAUGGUAUACAGUUUUCUGCUUUACACAAUUUUUUUAUUAUAUACAUGAAUAUAAGACAAUCUAUUCAUUAAAAUUACAUUUCUGUCAAGUUUAAAAAGAGAUAAAAAAUUGACAGGUACAUGCAAAAAGUAUGAGAUCAAAUAUUGAAGAAAUAAUAGUUUCUGUGUUAGUGAGACAUUUUUUUCCAGUUUUGAUCAUUAGUUACAGCUUAUUUGCUUGACUGGUGAGUACUUUGGUGUUUCCUAGCACAUAUUCUAAGAAUAGGUAAAAUUGUCAAUGGUUGCUCUUCAUUUCUGUCUAGGAAACUUUACUGGGGAAAUCCAACCCUCAGACUCAUUAGUACUUAAUAAUCAGAAAGUUUUCUUUCUUAGUGAGAAAUUGUGAAUACAAUUGAUUUUAAACACUCAAAUAUCUUAUUUUUUUUAAUUAGCACAAUUGGGCUAUUGCAUUCCUGUCCAGUACAUCUCCAGUGACACAUUUAAUUGGAGUGGUUUAGAAUAAAGAAAAUAUACAUGGAUAUAAAAGGGACCCAAAGAAAUGCUGGAAUCUUUUGUUCCAAACUCUCUGAAUGGAAACAAACAUACCACAGAACCUCUGUGUCUGUAAUACCUACAUGCAAAUGCAUUCAAAUAGUUAGUACAGAUUGGUUGAUAUUUGAGUGGCAGGAUUAUUAUCUAAAGCUAUGCGUAGGCAUUCUUGCCUCAUCUCAGUACUUUCAGACUCUAUAUCCUUCAACUAGUGAUGCCUAAGUAUCUGAAGAAAGCAAAGUAGGCUAUAUAGUAUUUAUAAUCAAAUAUCAACAUUCUCACAAAAACACAGGAGGAUUUGUAAUAUUCACAUCCUCAAUCAAUGAGUGGAAGUUAGGUUUCAGUUAGUUUGCUUUUUUUUUCAGUGUCUCAGUGUCUGGUCUUAGAUCUAACUUUUCCCAUAUAAACAGCUGAAGUUCACUCAUACAGCCACUCAGGACUUCAUAUAAUCAUGCCAUACCCGCCCCCACAUCUACUUAUAAUGAUUCAGUUUGUUACAAUUUCUCUAAAGCUGUUUGUUCUGUAUUUUCAAGUCAUGUUUUCUGGCAAUUUUUUGUAUUGCAAUUCCUGACACUUAUUACUCUACAGUGGUAUAAAAUGGAUGUUUCCCAUUCCAAGUCAGGAGUAAUUGAACACAGGUUAUAUUGCAUUUAUUGAUAAUUGACUAAAUGGUUACAAACAUUAGGUUAAAAUCAAUCUAUAUUACAUUCUCUAAAAUUUCAAACACUACCAACACAAUGAUAGCUAUAUGAAAGUGAUUAUCAAUAAAAAUUCAUUAUUCUGUCCGACAAAAUAUAAAGAACUUUAUGAAGUGAGAUUAAAUUGGACAAUUAUCAGUAAAAUUUUCCUGGCAUAAGUAUUAACAUUUUAAAUUAUGUGUGCCUUCAAAUCUUGACAAAUUCAUCCUAUAUCAUUUUAGUACAUGAUUUCAGUGUAGCACUGCCAGAUACAUUGCUGAGUAUGCAGAUGGUUUUCCAUGAAUUAUUUUGUGAACAACCAUUUAUUUUUUGAUAGAAUGCUCCUAAAAUGACAAUGAUUAUAAGGAUUAAUAAUGGCACUCAUCUAACUGUGAGUAUAGCUUGAACAGAUGCAAAAUGUUUCCUUCCAAUAUUCACAUUAUAAAGCACCUUAUUUUUGCAUGAGUAUUGGGACAGUGAUCCUUAUUGAAUUGGUCUCUUUCAUGCAUUUUCAGACGUGUUCUAAUUUUUUAGAUUCUUUUAAGAUUUUUUAAAAACACUGUACAUUUGUUAGGAUUCUGAUAGUGAUGAAUUUUAAGGUUUGACUAUCUGAGCACUCCAUAAAACCUGCAACAUUUUUGAAAUUCAUAGCAUUCUUCUAGUUUGGAUACUGUGGUGAUUGUUAACAUUUAUGCACCCUGAAGAUGAUUUCCUAUGUGCUUCACAUUUAUAAGAUUUCUCUCAUGUAUGAAUGUAUUGAGUUAUUGCAGAGAUGAUCAAUGUGUAAAGGAAAGAAUAUAAUGUACUAAUUAAAUAUUAAGGAUUCUGACUUCUCCAAACUUGUAGUGUCUAUGAAGAUGUGAAUCAUAGGUACAGAACCUGCACAAUUUGUAUAUUUCUAACUUUUUCUCUAUUAUGUAUUCUUAGAUGAAAUUUAAGUAUUGUGCUCAUAGUAAAGGACUUUUCACAUGCAUUUCAAUUGUAAUGCUUCUAUCCAGUAUGAAAUAUUUGAAGAAUUUGAAGUGUUGAGGUCUGUUUAAAAGAUUUGCCCCAUAUUUACAAUUUUAAGGUUUUUGUCCAGUGUCUAUUCUUUGAUGAACACCAAGAAUUCAGCCUUUUGUAAAGAAUUGCCACAUACUUGAAAACUGUACGGUUUCUCGCACGUAUGUAUUCUUUGAUGAAAUUUAAAAUUUGAGCAUAUGAUAAAGGACUUUCGACAUUCUUUACACAUAACAUUUCUCUCCUUUAUGUAAUCUUUGAUGAGCUUGAAGUUUUGAGUCUUUGUUAAAGGAUUUGCCACAUUAUUUACAAUUGUAAGUUUUCUCUCCAGUGUGUUCCUUGAUGAACUUUAAGUGUUAAGGAUGUAGUAAAGCACUUUCCACAUUCUUUACAUUUAUAUAGUUUAUCUCCAGUAUGUAUUCUCUGAUGAUCAUGAAGUUUUGAGCCUGUCAGAAAGGACUUUCCACAUUCAUUACAAUUAUAAGGUUUCUCUCCAGUAUGUAUUCUUUGAUGAACUUGAAGAUUUGAGCAUUGUGUAAAAGACUUUCCACAUUCUUUACAUUUAUAUGGUUUCUCUCCAGUAUGUAUUCUUUGAUGAACUUUAAGAUCUGAACCAUUGGUAAAGCACUUCCCACAUUCUAUACAUUUAUAUGGUUUCUCACCAGUAUGUAUUCUCUGAUGAUCAUGAAGUUUUGAGCCUGUCAUAAAGGACUUUCCACAUUCAUUACAUUUAUAUGGUUUCUCUCCAGUAUGUAUUCUUUGAUGAACUUUAAGAUCUGAGCCAUUGGUAAAGGACUUCCCUCAUUCUGUACAUUUAUAAGGUUUCUCUCCAGUAUGUAUUCUUUGAUGAACUUUAAGAGUUGAGCCUAUUGUAAAGGACUUUCCACAUUCUUUACAUUUAUAUGUUUUUUCUCCAUCAUGUAUUCUUUGAUGAGAAUGAAGGCUUGAGCCUGUCAUAAAGGACUUUCCACAGUCAUUACAUUUAUAAGGUUUCUCUCCAGUAUGUAUUCUUUGAUGAACUUGAAGUGUUGAGCCUUGUGUAAAAGGCUUUCCACAUUCUUUACAUUUAUAUGGUUUCUCUCCAGUAUGUAUUCUUUCAUGAACUUUAAGAUCUGAGGCUUUCAUAAAGGGCUUUCCACAUUUAUUACAUUUAUAUUGUUUCAUCCCAGUAUCUAUUCUUUGAUGAACUUUGAGAUCUGAGCCAUUGGUGAAGGACUUCCCACAUUCUUUAUAUCGGUAAAGUUUCAUUCCAAUACAUAUUCUUUGAUGAACUUUAAGAGUUGAGCCUUUCAUAUAUUCUUUGUCUAAUAUUUCUUCCUGAGGGGUAUCCUGUGUACACUCUUUUGGAAACAACUCCUGAACUGGAUAACAAAACAAACCUGGAAGAAAUGAAAGAAGUUAUUUAUAUGACUGUCUGGAAUUAGGCAAAAUAAUAUUGAAACUUAUAAAUAAAAGGACUCCAAUGUGUACUGUAACAAAUAGAUUAAUCACAUAAGAUGUUCUAUUUGCUUAGAAAUUGUAUUGUUAAUUUAGAUCAAUAACAUCUUUCAAAGCACAUUAUAUAGUGUUAGAAAUGAAAAAUCAUAUAUAGACUUCCUAUGAUUAAUUAUAAUUAAUACAUAUUAAUACAUAGUCAUUGAAAGAGAGAGUUUAUUAAAAAGAAAGCAAUAAAAUGAUCAUUAAAAACAAAUAUGGCCGUAAGUAAUCCAGUGUUCAAACAAGAAAAACAUGAAGUAUGCCAUAUCAUGAAAUUGUGUUUAAUGUAAUAUGAAAUGUUUAAAUGGAACCUCUUUAAACGUGUCAUGUAACCAGAAACUAUUAACACAAUUUUUAGAAAACAAAGCAAAUUAUUAUCCAUUUUUAAAAAUGUUCUAUUUACCUCAAAUUUUCAAAAUUAAUUUAGAUUAAUUACACAUUUCAAAACAAAUGAAUUAUAAAUUUUAGAAGUGAAAAAAAAUUAGACUUCAAGCUGUAAUUAAUCAAAAGAGAUGUAGAAGGUCAUCCCAUAUUCAUCACAGGAAAUAUGCAUCAAUAUAAAG